GACAGAGGGUGCAAACGUUGUUCGGAAUUACUGGGCGUAAAGCGCGCGUAGGCGGACCUGCAAGUCGGGUGUGAAAGCCCCGGGCUCAACCUGGGAAUUGCAUUCGAGACUGAAUAGCUAGGGUACGGUAGAGGGAAGCGGAAUUUCCGGUGUAGCGGUGAAAUGCGUAGAUAUCGGAAGGAACAUCAGUGGCGAAAGCGGCUUCCUGGACCAGUACCGACGUUCAGGCACGAAAGCGUGGGGAGCAAACAGG
rnacentral:rRNA from 1 species